GGUAAAAGAUGGUGUAGUGGGAGCACGAGGGGUUUUGAUCUCCUAAGGGUAGGUUCGAGUCCUAUUUUUUUAACAUACA
rnacentral:tRNA from 1 species